rnacentral:rRNA from 1 species
GACGAACGCUGGCGGCGUGCUUAACACAUGCAAGUCGAACGAAGUGGCGAACGGGUGAGUAAUACGUGGGUAACCUGCCCUCCUUUUUGGGAUAAGCCUUGGAAACGGGGUCUAAUACCGAAUAAAGGGGGAUGGGCUCGCGGCCUAUCAGCUGGUUGGUGGGGUGAUAGCCUACCAAGGCGGUGACGGGUAGCUGGCCUGAGAGGGUGAACGGCCACUGAGGGACGGAGCUACGGCCCAGAGGAGUACGGGGGGGAGAAGUGGGGGAUAUUGCAGAAAGCGUGAAGGCCUGAUGCAGCGACGGCGCGUAGGGGAUGCGGGCUGUCGAGUUGUAUACCUAUUGCGGAACAGAACGGGUAGGUUGAGAAGAAGCGCCGGCUAACUACGUGCCAGCAGCCGCGGUAAUUC